AACGUCGAAGAAAUCGGCGCUAAUACCUCAUAAUGCAGCGGAUCCGCAUGGAUAUGUUGUUAAAGGUUUACCGCCUUGGGAUAGGCUUGCGUCUGAUUAGCUAGUUGGUGUGGUAACGGCACACCAAGGCUACGAUCAGUAACUGGUCUGAGAGGAUGAUCAGUCACACUGGAACUGAGACACGGUCCAGACUCCUACGGGAGGCAGCAGUGAGGAAUAUUGGGCAAUGCUCGAAAGUGUGACCCAGCAACGCCGCGUGGAGGAUGAAGGUAUUCUAUAUCGUAAACUCCUGUGAGAGCAGACGAAAGACAGAUUAUUAAUCUGGAUGACUGUAUGCUCAGAGGAAGCCCCGGCUAACUACGUG
rnacentral:rRNA from 1 species